rnacentral:rRNA from 1 species
UACGUAGGGGGCAAGCGUUGUCCGGAAUUAUUGGGCGUAAAGCGCGUGUAGGCGGCUCGGUAAGUCUGCUGUGAAAGCCCAGGGCUCAACCCUGGGAUGCCGGUGGAUACUGUCGAGCUCGAGUCCGGAAGAGGCGAGUGGAAUUCCUGGUGUAGCGGUGAAAUGCGCAGAUAUCAGGAGGAACACCAAUGGCGAAGGCAGCUCGCUGGGACGUGACUGACGCUGAGGCGCGAAAGCGUGGGGAGCAAACAGG